ACACCUCCUGCCAUAGAGGGACGGAAAAAGAUAGAGAGAAGAGGAGACAGGCACGGGAGAAGAACCGGAGAUUGCAUCACGUCCAGCUCUUAGCGCAAAGCCAUCCACAUCCAUCCAUCAAACCAAGAGCAGCACUUGACGUACAGGUUAGGAGCAAGAUCGGAGGAGAUCAAUGGAGGCGAAGCUGAGUUUUCCCAACGGUGCAGCCCGAAGACUUUGACGGACAGGAUCAACCCAGCGACGGCGUACAGGUGCGGCUCGGCCGUCGAUGCAGAUGGGUGUACAUGUGCACGUGGGUUUACAGGUACCGGAGCUAGCCACGCAGCCCAGCGGACGGGCGCAUCUCAGCCAACAGGAGCGACCCCGUCGAGCGACAUAUCUGGGUGCUGCAUAGACCGGUGUACAGGUUAUCUACGAGGCCGGCCCGAAGUCCUCCGUACAAGUGCGGCCUAGUGACUCGGUGACGGCGUCGAGGCGCUGCGGACUCGCAACCUUUUGCCGCCAACUUCAUCGGACCUUGCCGCGGCCACGAUGUUCAGCGGUGUACAGGCUCAAGCACGACGCAGUUGACGUACAGGAGCAACCCGGCGUACACGGAUGACACCACAUGUACAACCCUGCACAGAUUGGCGGACAGGCGCAGGUCCGCGGCGACGUACAAGUGCAGCUCGGCCUCGCAUGCAGGAGCAGCUAGACACCCCGGUGUACAGGUGCAGCUCAGCAGUUGAUGCAGGCGGCUCGACGCCGGCGCACACGGUCAAGUCCCGAUGGACACGAGCUGCUCUAGGCGUACAGGUGAUCGGCCGAACGGACGCGAUUUACCGGUGACCCAGCUGAGCACGUAGCAGCGGAGCGAGGGUACGUCCAGGCGGACAGGUACAGCGGCCGGCAGCACGGCGGCGUCGCUUGGCAUCUCGCUGCUGUGCGCUGGCCUCGCCAUUCGCUGUUGGUGGCAAAAUGUACAUGAACACGCAGGAAAGGUGCAUCGCUCGCGUGCGUGGCCAACACGUGCAUGAGCUGCUAUGCUCUCCACGUACAUGUUGUUUCUGGAUGUCCAGGUUGCUGCGGUGCUGGUGCUGCUUCACGACACCGCUGGAUGGCGAUACCAACUCUACUCCAUUGUGACCUCGUGAGACGGCGCCCAAGCUGCGCCGACCGCCGUACACUCGGCGUCGGGCUCAGUCACGGCGCCGACCACACCGGCCAUGCCGACAUGAGCAUGCGUUGGUUUUACACCGACGCCGGUCUCCUGAUAAAUUACUCUCGCGGGGCGUACCCCUUGCACACCCCGACGAUGCCGCUAAGUCGUCAAGAAGUCCUAGCUAACCGGACUGCAUCAUGCUACUUCAACAAUACUCAUCAUCGCCGCUCAAGACCGACGAGGCGCGACGGCGAGGGCGGGCGAGGCCGCAGCACAGGCCACGCCUACAGCGGCGCAUGUACCGACGAGGACAUGGGCUCUGCCGCUGCCCACACACAUCUUCACCACCAUCAUGCAUGCAGGACGUGAAGCGAAGACGACCACACGGCUUAAUCGGAGGUAUCUCGCGGCGUAACCCGCGGGAGUAAUUAACCGGGAGCCUUCCGAGGCCUCGGGAAUCAGGAGACUGCAAUCGCCCUAGUCAGGCUGGCCGCGCUAGUAGGCCACGGAGCGCAACACAUGGGAAUUGUAUUUGUUAACUAUAUGAUUAAUGAAAUACUGUUCCCGCA